rnacentral:tRNA from 1 species
GGGCCUGUAGCUCAAUUGGUAGAGCGCGCGAAUGGCAUUCGCGAGGUAAGGGGAUCGUAGCCCCUCAGGUCCACAA